rnacentral:rRNA from 1 species
CCUACGGGAGGCAGCAGUCGAGAAUUAUUCACAAUGGGGGAAACCCUGAUGGUGCGACGCCGCGUGGGGGAAUGAAGGUCUUCGGAUUGUAAACCCCUGUCAUGUGGGAGCAAAUUAUAAAGAUAGUACCCCAAGAGGAAGAGACGACUAACUCUGUGCCAGCAGCCGCGGUAAUACAGAGGUCUCAAGCGUUGUUCGGAAUCACUGGUCGUAAAGCGUGCGUAGGCUGUUUCGUAAGUCGUGUGUGAAAGGCGGGGGCUCAACCCGCGGACGGCACAUGAUACGGGGAGACUAGAGUGAGGGAGAGGGAAGAGGAAGUCUGGGUGGAGCGGUGAAAUGCGUAGAUAGUAGGAGGAACACCAGUGGCGAAGGCGGGUUACUGGACGGUAACUGACGUUGAGGCGCGAAGGCGGGGGGAGAAAACAGGAUGAGAGAGCACUGUAGUC